rnacentral:rRNA from 1 species
UACGAGGGGGGCGAGCGUUGUUCGGAAUUAUUGGGCGUAAAGGGCGCGUAGGCGGUGCGGUAAGUCACCUGUGAAACCUCUGGGCUCAACUCAGAGCCUGCAGGCGAAACUGCCGUGCUGGAGUGUGGGAGAGGUGCGUGGAAUUCCCGGUGUAGUGGUGAAAUGCGUAGAUAUCUGGAGGAACACCGGUGGCGAAGGCGGCAUCCUGGACCAACACUGACACUGAGGAGCGAAAGCCAGGGGAGCAAACAGG